rnacentral:ncRNA from 1 species
ACGGAGUAUGCUGAAAAUCCGACAAAGAGUAGGCA